UCCUACCUGAUUAUGUCUUGUAGAUUCUAAUAGUAUUCUGGGAGAUGCCUUUACAUGUCAACACAGUAGAGGAAAAAUCAACGGUGACGAGAGAAGAAGAGCUUGGGAUUUCCUCAGGACCCUCUUGAUGAUCUGAGUAGACUGGAAAUGUAUGAUGAAAUACCCUAACCUGUUUCCAA
rnacentral:lncRNA from 1 species